CGGCCCAUAGAAUCACGUCUCGCGUGAACCCUAAUCGAGUUUGGAGUCCUCGCCUUCGUCCUCCCUGUCUCCAUCGGCGCCGAGCGUGACGAAACAGAUGCUGUAACGGAUGCGUGUUUACUCCGAAUGUCUUAAAUUCGUGUGUCUGAUAUGAUCUCUUCGGUUGUGCUGCUCAUACGUCGGUGUGUGUUGUAAAUAGGUUCGUAUCUCACUCUGUUUUUUUUUCUUGAUCCCUUAAUCUCUCUGCUAUCUAUGUAUUAGAGCACUCCUAGAAUAGAAAUGAAGAUCGCUCCCCCCUCUGAACAACAAAUGAAUCCGACAUAAACAAGAAAGAAACCCUUUUCGUCUUCUCCAUCUUCAUGUAUGGUGCUUUGGCUUAGAGAGAUGAGCACAUUGUCGGUUAAAAAUUCUCUGUUUCAUCCAUGAUGACUCCAGAGCCGGAGGAGCAGUUGAAAGAGUUCGGAUCGAAGCUUGACCCACCUCCUUCGUCUAAGAUUCAUUGCUUAAACUCUAUAAAUUUGUUCCAUGUUUGAUGAGUUGGUUCGAGGUGAUAAUCACUCCUUCAGGUUCUCUCUAGAUCCACCACUCUUUAUCUUGAAAACAAUAGGGAUGUAAGUUAGUCAAAUGCGUAUGCAACAGAACUCAGCACCGUACAACAUAAUGUCAUUUUUUUGGGCCGGCUUUAUCUGAACGCACCUCUGGCACUCAUUUCUUCUUUGACACCGAGACUUAUGCAGGGCAGAUUUACUAUGAAAGAUGACUCCACAAUAACACCAAAGUAUCUUAAGCACAGGAAGUACAGACCCUAACCACCGCUGAACUCAAUGGUUAUGUCAUCAAAUCACAGCCUCAGCUUUUUAUUCAUGAAUCAAGACAGUUGACGGUUGUUCAGACUUACAACGGCUGGUGUUACAUUCCCUUCUCCAAGUGCUCCAAGAAGCUCCAGCGAGGUGUUUCUUCCUGCAUAGCAUGUGAUGUCUAAGAAAUAAUGUGGAAUUUGUUCUUAAACAUGUGGAUCUGAUGAUGGUAGCAGCUCCACAACUUCGUAUGAAAAUUUGUACCAGUAACUCUUUCUGAGCUGAACAACACGUUCUCAACUCUAUCAAUACUAUUAUAUUUACUACUAAGGUUGGUUGAACAACACG